AUUUUGUCAUAAAUUAACCAAAUUAUUGAGUGAGAUGCUACUUAGAACUUAUAGAGAAAAUCGUUCCCUUUUAUUCUCUUUCAUUCGUAUCAAUUGAUUCUUAUAAUUGUUGUCAUAUUACAUAUUGAGGUUUCAUCUCUCAUUAUCAUCGUAUCAAAACUGAUUUUAGAUACAACACUAUCUCAAUCUUUCUCCUACAAUCACUUCAAUUACGAAUAAAUAAAAGGCCAAUCAACCUUGUUAGAUUUAAGUCACCAUGAUGACAUGGUAGUAGCAAGAACGCACAAAAAGAAAAAGUUUGAUUCAAUAACCUAACACAUAAUCAUUUGGAACUAUAGUUCAAUUACUUCACAUAAUCAAACUUUUAAAAUCAUGCUCUCUCUCUCUCUAAAAAAAAAAAUACUUUUAGAAUCAUUCAUUAAAUAACAUUUUUAUCAUCUCCGCAUAUUUUAACUAUUUACUUAUCUAGAUCCUUGAUAAUUUUAUUACCAUAUCAUGACAACAUUGCAC
rnacentral:lncRNA from 1 species